rnacentral:rRNA from 1 species
CCUACGGGUGGCAGCAGUGAGGAAUAUUGGUCAAUGGGCGCGAGCCUGAACCAGCCAAGUAGCGUGAAGGAUGACUGCCCUACGGGUUGUAAACAUCUUUUAUCAAGGAAUAAAGUGAGGCACGUGUGCCUUUUUGUAUGUACUUUAUGAAUAAGAGUCGGCUAACUCCGUGCCAGCAGCCGCGGUAAGACGGAGGAUCCGAGCGUUAUCCGGAUUUAUUGGGUUUAAAGGGAGCGCAGAUGGGUGGUUAAGUCAGUUGUGAAAGGUUAGGGCUUAACCGUAAAAUUGCAAUUGAUACUGGUAGGCUUGAGUAUAGUUGAGGGAGGUGGAAUUCGUGGUGUAGCGGUGAAAUGCUUAGAUAUCACGAAGAAUUCCGAUUGCGAAGGCAGCCUACUAAACUGCCACUGACAUUGAGGCGCGAAAGUGUGGGUAUCAAACAGGAUUAGAUACCCGUGUAGUC